rnacentral:rRNA from 1 species
UACGGAGGGAGCUAGCGUUGUUCGGAAUUACUGGGCGUAAAGCGCACGUAGGCGGCUUUGUAAGUUAGAGGUGAAAGCCCGGGGCUCAACCCCGGAAUUGCCUUUAAGACUGCAUCGCUUGAAUCCGGGAGAGGUGAGUGGAAUUCCGAGUGUAGAGGUGAAAUUCGUAGAUAUCGGGAGGAACACCGGUGGCGCAAGCGGCUUGCUGGGCUGUAACUGACGCUGAGGAACGAAAGCUAGGGUAGCGAAUGGG